rnacentral:rRNA from 1 species
UACGUGAGGUGCAAGCGUUGUCCGGAAUUAUUGGGCGUAAAGAGCUCGUAGGCGGUUUGUCGCGUCUGCUGUGAAAACUCGGGCUUAACCCCGGGCCUGCAGUGGGUACGGGCAGACUAGAGUGCGGUAGGGGAGACUGGAAUUCCUGGUGUAGCGGUGAAAUGCGCAGAUAUCAGGAGGAACACCGGCGGCGAAGGCGGGUCUCCUGGGCCGUAACUGACGCUGAGGCACGAAGGCCAGGGAGGCAAACGGG